rnacentral:rRNA from 1 species
AGCGAACGCUGGCGGCAGGCCUAAUACAUGCAAGUCGAGCGCACCUUCGGGUGAGCGGCGGACGGGUGAGUAACGCGUGGGAAUGUGCCCUCUGGUACGGAACAACUGAGGGAAACUUCAGCUAAUACCGUAUGUGCCCUUCGGGGAAGAUUUAUCGCCAUUGGAGCAGCCCGCGUUGGAUUAGGUAGUUGGUGAGGUAAAGGCUCACCAAGCCUACGAUCCAUAGCNGGUCUGAGAGGAUGAUCAGCCACACUGGGACUGAGACACGGCCCAGACUCCUACGGGAGGCAGCAGUAGGGAAUCUUGCGCAAUGGGCGAAAGCCUGACGCAGCCAUGCCGCGUGAAUGAUGAAGGUCUUA